GGCCUCUUGGUGGAAUUGGCAGACACGCAGGUCUUAGGAGCCUGUAUCGAAAGAUGUGUGGGUUCGAGUCCCACAGAGGCCA
rnacentral:tRNA from 1 species